AAAUGUGUGCUGUGGUGUAGGUUCAGGCUUUUGUGUUGGGAGUGCCUGAGAGAAAAUGUGGGGUCAUGACCAAUAAACUGAUUCUUUAAAUAUAAAAGCAGGCACAUGAAGGGGUACAGGGAUCUGCACCUGGAAGUUGCAAACAGAGGUUAAAACGUGGCGACAGCUGUCCGGCACCCACCUCAUCGCUCCGAUGCAGGGUCAUCCCGGCUUGUUCGACGCUCCAAAUGCUGAGAAGCUCAUUGCACGAGGCUUUGUUCAGAUUUGCUCAUCCUAGAGUUAUUACAGAGUGUUCAGGGCCUCUUUCGAGUGAAUCUCCCUGAACAUGGCAACAAAGCUGCACAUCUUUUCAUGAGGAGCACAAACUCUCUCCAAGAACAUUCAGCCUGGUUUGGUACGCCGUGACAUGGCUUUGUUUCUUCACCAGGGGUUUGCACUGACUGAGCACUAGUAUGUGAACGCUUCGCUUGCAAGUCUCCAGUUCCUAGUCUUAGUUGGGUUUUAGAAACAGAUGUGGAAUCAGCCCUUAAGGACAACUUCCAUGUACUGUGAAGAGAAACUGAUCAUGUACAGAAUGCUAAUUUAUAAGAUCACACUCAUUGUCAUCAAUCUAGUUGGGCUCAAUGUUGGUACUAAUGCCAGGUUUAGGUCUGAGGUAGAGGCUGGGGUUAAAGCCAGGUUCAGGGUUUGGGAAUGUCUAGAUGAAUUUAAUAGACAAUAAAAGUUAAAUGUCAGGUGCGCAUCUGUGGUGAACAUGAACAGCAACAAAGCUUUAAAGUUCUCAUUCUGCUUUUCUCUUAAACUCAACUUCUGUGAAGUCUAGUUUUAUGUGCUGUUUGAUGUGAAUGUUUCAUAAUGAAGUUUGAGCUUCAUGUGUUUUGAA